GACACAUUGGAAAAGACCCUGAUGCUGGGAAAUACUGAAGGCAGAAAGAGAAGAGGGCAGCAGAGGACGAGAUGGUUAGGUAACAUCACUGAAUCAAUGAACAUGAAUAUGGGCAAACUCCAGGACACAGUGGAGGAUAGGACCCUGGGGUUCUGCAAAGAGUCAGACAACUUGGCAACAGAACAACAGAGUCUCUGUUUCCAAACAGUGUGAGGUGCGUUAUAGCGGUCACUAUUAAAAGACAGUCGAAUUCUUGGGCUGUUGACGUUUGAGGGAUUGAGAAGGAAAGCAGAAGUAGAACUUGAGUAAAAAUAUGAAGAGAGUUGAAAAUUAUGGUCCUGUUUUUAGGAAAUACGUUUGAAAAUCUUUAUAGAAAGCAAUGACUGCUUCUGGAAACACUGCCUCUUUGCUAAUAGGAAUAAUAAAUGUGGUUCUUUCCCCUAAAAGCACACCAGUAGCAACAUUACGGAUUACUGCUAACACUUAAAUGUCUGUCAUUUAUGCAUUUAGUAUUAGUGAUCUUAAUACUGAUUUAUUAUGACUCAUACUCUCUUUUCAAGAGUUACGUCCAGAAAUUCAUGCUCUGGAUUUGAAUGUUAGUCUCAGUAGGAGCUUCUGCCAUAGUCUAUUGCCUAGAAGUUACUCUGUAGUACCAAUUCUGCAUUAGCUAGGCUCUUAAAAAAAACAGCAAAAAUUGGCUUUAAAAAAAUUAAUGAAAGAACAUUAACUACAUAAAGAAUCAAAGGGAAGGCUGAAAACUAGAGAACUAGGGCAGCCCCAAGGACUCUCAAGUCACAAAUUUGUGAACUCUAAUAAAUGGGUCACUGGUGUUACCCAGUGACAUCUCCAAAGGAGUCAAACUGAUGGUUUCAAAAAGAGUAAUAUGGAUAGUUUAAAAAAAAAAAAAAAAAAAAGGGACAAUGAGGAGCCUUAGCAUUCUAACAAGCUGAGAUAUAAGACUAAGAAUUCUGGGAAAUUGCAUUUUUAAAUAUUUUGAUCACUUUGAUGCAGCCAGCAUUGUUAAGAUGGUUAAAUUAGAUUGCAUAUUACUAUUGCGAGUUUUCUGAGGAGCUAGUCAUGAUCUUUUUUACCUCUUACAGAUUAUAUAUCAAUUCAGAAAUAUACUUACUGGAGUUGAGUAGGAAGAAGCCAAGCUGUGAGCUUUAUUGAGAAAGCUUGACUGAAAAACUUCGGCCUACGAUUCCCAUUGAACUUGUCCCACUCUUUCUAUACCUUGAGGCUCACCUUGGAAGGGAAAUAUUUAAUCUAACAGGAAAGAAUUGUGACUGACAUCCCCACCGUGUUAAAGAAGUUGAUUCCAAGAGAGUCUGCCUGCAGGUCAGCAGAUGGCCUCAUUCUCGCUUUACUGCUGAAGAGGCACAGAACUCGGAGGCUUCACUUCAAACUUGUACACUGAUGCUUUUCCACAUUCCACUGACCAAGGCAAGUCUUAUGGUUCAGCCAAACUUGAGUGGGAAAGGGAAAUACACUCCUCCCCAGGAGAUGGUGGGGAGAGGUGUGAAAAUCGAAUGCAAGGCUCUAAUAGACCAGGGAUUGGCAAACUUUUUCUGUAAAGGGUCAGUUGAGGCUCUGCAGCCAAUAUGGUCUCUUGCACCUACUCAAGUGAGUCAGUUGUUAUGAAAGCUCCUCAGACAGUAAGUAAACGAAUGAGCAUGGCUGUGUUCCAGUAACAAAAAGCUGAUGUGCUGUAUUUGGUCCAUGGGUUACAGUUUGCUGACCCUGUAAUAGAUACUUUUGCUCUUUUGUUCGCAAAUGUUCAAACCUGUCCCUGGCUCAAAGCAACUGAUUCUCUGAUACUUAAGGCUCACAUUUAAAACAUCAUUAUUUAUUGAAUCUAUCCACAGUACCUCAAAUGGGAUGGCCCUCUAUUUCAUCUCAAUCCCGUAUUGAAACAACUGGCUAUUUCUUUGAGGUACUCCUCAGGACACCCUACCAUGAAUUUGUAUCUGAAAACUUGGGAAGGGAGCCUCUUUGGCAUAUGGCGCCUAUGAAGAGGUUGAGAACAGCGAAAACGCUACAUGCUUCUAUUUUUAAUCACUGUAGAAACAUGGAUGCUGAAUACAUUUUUAUUACCAGUAUGCAUUCAGUUUCUUAGGUUCCUAACCUCCUGUAUGUUUUGUAAUUAUGGACUGAAAAAUUACUAGCAUAAUAAAGUAGGUAUCCACACACAUAUUUAAUUUUUUCUUUACCUUCUGUUUCAUGUAAUUGUAAGAUUCAUCUUAAUUUUAUUAAGUGUGAAAAUUCAGGAUAGCUGAAAUAAUGCUACAUUGUAAUACCUAAGUUUUCCACCAGGCGUCACUAAUACUGUGAAUUUCUUUUGACUCUAAAGACUAAUAUUCCACUUUUCUUAUUGAAAGUUAACAUUGGGACUUCUGGCUACAAAAAGACGUCGGGAGAGAAAACACAGCAUCUGUCCUUUGCUAGGCAUUUUACAUGAACUGUCUCAUUUAACUCUUAUGCUUUAGUGCACAAAAAGCAUUGCAGGGUCAGUGGGCAUGCAGACAGCACUGUUUUAAAGUUUAGAUGGUCUCCUUUGUCCGCGGCCAUGGAAGUUCAUUUGACUCCAUACCAAGCACAUCGAAAGGAGUGUUUCCUCACCAUUUUCUUGGUGGCUGUUAAACCGUCUACAUCCUGUUAGCAACUGAGUGUCCAGAAUAAGUCAAGUUUUCCUUUACUGGGCUUUAAGUUUCAUUGGUGAGUUUGUAUUUCCACCUCAGAUGACUGACCAAUGAUGGGCAGCAACCAAAACACAGAGGACAUUUUCCUAUACCUUAUCUAUAGUGGUUAUGGAAAAAAAUCAAGUAUGAAUUUUCAAGCAUUUGUGAACCAGUUUUCCAACUUGCCAGGAGAAUUGUUCAUUACUCCUUGGGGCAUUAAUUCUUGGCUCAACUUGUAAAUAAUUUCUCAUUUUUAAAAAUUCCGUGUAUGAAACUGUAUUUCAGUUACUUAUUCAUUGUAACCAUGAUCAAAGUUUGUGUUGGAAUAACAAUGGAAUAAAACCUAUUAAACUUCAAA